rnacentral:rRNA from 1 species
CCUACGGGUGGCAGCAGUGAGGAAUAUUGGUCAAUGGGCGAGAGCCUGAACCAGCCAAGUCGCGUGAGGGAGUACUGCCCUAUGGGUUGUAAACCUCUUUUGUCGGGGAGCAAAAGCCGGACGUGUCCGGCUGUGAGAGUACCCGAAGAAAAAGCAUCGGCUAACUACGUGCCAGCAGCCGCGGUAAUACGUAGGGGGCAAGCGUUGUACGGAUUUACUGGGUGGAAAGGGAGCGUAGACGGCCAGACAAGUCAGAAGUGAAAGCCCAGGGCUCAACCCUGGGACUGCUUUUGAAACUGCCGGGCUGGAGUGCAGGAGAGGUAAGCGGAAUUCCUAGUGUAGCGGUGAAAUGCGUAGAUAUUAGGAGGAACACCAGUGGCGAAGGCGGCUUACUGGACUGUAACUGACGUUGAGGCUCGAAAGCGUGGGGAGCAAACAGGAUUAGAUACCCUUGUAGUC